rnacentral:rRNA from 1 species
AUUGAACGCUGGCGGCAGGCUUAACACAUGCAAGUCGAGCGGAGCGGCGGACGGGUGAAUAAUGCCUAGGAAUCUGCCUGGUAGUGGGGGAUAACGUCCGGAAACGGGCGCUAAUACCGCAUACUAUCAGAUGAGCCUAGGUCGGAUUAGCUAGUUGGUGGGGUAAAGGACUACCAAGGCGACGAUCCGUAACUGGUCUGAGAGGAUGAUCAGUCACAUUGGAAGUGCGACACGGUCCGGACUCGUACGAGAGGCAGCAGUGGGAAAUAAUAGAAAAUGGGCGAAAGCCUGGUCCAGCCAUUCCGCGUGUGUGAAGAUGGUCUUCGGAUUGUAACGCACUUUUAGUUGGGAGGCGUUAACAACAGAAUAAGCACCGGCUAACUACGUGCCAGCAGCCUCGCUAAUAC